GUAAGUCUCUCUACUAACUGUUGGGUAAGUCUCCUACUGGAAUAGUCCCUUUUCCCCACACAUCACUUGUCAUGCAGUUUUAGCUGAAUCCAGAAUUUUACAGGUCCUCUUCUAAGCUUAGAACUUCUCUGCUACAUGACAGGUUGUGCCUUCUUGUCACAGAGUCUGAAUUUAAAGGGUGCACGUUUAUGAUCAUGUGUCGUUCUGGCCUACGCCGGAUUACAUUCUGAUUAUGUUCUAUUUUUUCUGCACUGAUUUUGGUUCCAUAAAUACACAACUUGAACUUCUCUCAUGCCCAUAAGCAGGCUGGUGUCGUGUGUAUUCUUCUCAUCUCCAAGUGAUACACAGGAUAUUAUAUUGGCAAAUCAUCUAGGCCACCUUCUGUAAGCUUUACACCAACAGCUGAUAAUUGUCAGCCUGUGUCUCACUGCACCUUCAUUCAUGCACACAGAGAUAGCUCUGUCACUAGCGUGAAAGUUAAUCCUUGUCCUGUUAGCGAGAGAGUGCUUCAAGUUUUAUACAGAAAUAUAAUUAGAAUGUAGAAUUCUAUGGUAAUAUAUAGCCAAAGCAUGUCUUUCCCUUGAGGUUAGCUUUCUCUGAAACCACCAACCGUGUCCAUUCUAGGCCAAAUCAAAUUGUUUUCUUUUGCAGCUCACGGUGACACAGAACACAGCACAUUGUAACUACAGGACCAGACUCGACUUUGAAAGAUCUCUAUCAGGCAUCACAGAGAAUUUGGGGCAGAUGGCAGUUAUCAGCUGAAGCAGUCAGAACUGUACAAGAUAAAUAGAUAAUUGAAAAGCAAUCUGGAAAGCUGGAAGAGAUAUUAAGACUCUCUUCUAGAAGGGAGGUAACAACUCAGGGGCCUGCUGCAGCAAAUGUGGAAUGCCAGAAGUGGAGAUGCAAGAGAAGAUUCCAGAAAGAGAAGUGGUAGUGGAAGAAAAACCGAGACUUUGUCAUGAAAAUGAAAAGAAUUGGACAAGUUUACAAAAAUGAAAGCAGCUGGGAAAAGAAAAUAAAUUGACAUACAGCAUGCAAAAACUGCAAUAUGAACCAGUUUCUGGAACACUACGGUUUUCCCAGAUAUUUAAACUCCAUUUUUGGAUACUCCCUGAACUGUCAAUGGUCCCAUAAUCUCAAAAGGAGCUUCUGCUUUAGAUUGGGUUUUGACAAGAAAACAACAAAUCCUGUGGGAUGCUGCAGAUGUAUGAUGGUAUUAAUGUGCUAAAGGAUUUAGAGAAUAAGUAUGGUGGUGGGAGACAUAAGAAGAGUUGACAAUUCAAUCCCUUGUUGAUUGAUUCCUCUACCUAAACAUAUCCACAAUGACAUGUUUGGGAAUCAGUCUUGUAUCCAGGAGCCAGUGAUGGAGCUUUCACGUGGAAGCUGGGAUGGUUAAUGAAGUACAACUUGACACUCUUCAAAUCUUGCAAUGUCUUGUAAAAUAAAGGAAGAUUUAUUUUAUAUUUACACAUAUGCUUUGUAAUUAUUUAAUCAACCAAGUCAAAAUUUUACAAAUAAAAAACAUUUGUCAUUUUGUUAUGCACUGUUUGAGGCUGAAAAGGCAUUUGAUUAUCAUAAUUGUGUAAUGGAUAUUAGCUACAGUGACAAUCAAAAUAAACACAGAGCAUUUAUAUAUCAUCUUUUCAUAGUCCUUUUCUAAAUUACAUAAUCCGUGUACAAACUGCACAUGAAUAAUAUGCUAUGGUUAAACAAACAAGUCUUUAAUGAUCAGCAGUGAA